AGUCGCCGCGGUAAUACGGAGGGGGCUAGCGUUGUUCGGAAUUACUGGGCGUAAAGCGCACGUAGGCGGCUUGGUAAGUUAGAGGUGAAAGCCUGGAGCUCAACUCCAGAAUUGCCUUUAAGACUGCCGAGCUAGCAGGUGAGAGAGGUAAGUGGAAUUCCGAGUGUAGAGGUGAAAUUCGUAGAUAUUCGAAAGAACACCAGUGGCGAAGGCGGCUUACUGGCUCAUACUGGACGCUGAGGUGCGAAAGCGUGGGGAGCAAACAGGAUUAGAUACCCCUGUAGUCCCUGUCUCUUAUACA
rnacentral:rRNA from 1 species